rnacentral:tRNA from 1 species
GCAUUCAUAGCUCAGUAGGAUAGAGCGUCCGCCUCCUAAGCGGAAGGUCGCUGGUUCGAUUCCAGUUGGGUGCACCA